CUUCGUAGUCCGGAUUGGAGUCUGCAACUCGACUCCAUGAAGUCGGAAUCGCUAGUAAUCGCGAAUCAGCAUGUCGCGGUGAAUACGUUCUCGGGUCUUGUACACACCGCCCGUCAUACCAUGGAAGCGGAUUGCACCAGAAGUAGAUAGUCUAACCUUAGGGAGGGCGUUUACCACGGUGUGCUUCAUGACUGGGGUAAAGUCGUAACAAGGUAGCCGUAGGGGAACCUGUGGCUGGAUCACCUCCUU
rnacentral:rRNA from 1 species